rnacentral:rRNA from 1 species
CAGCCGUAAACUAUGCUCGCUAGGUGUCAGGCAUGGCGCGACCGUGUCUGGUGCCGCAGGGAAGCCGUGAAGCGAGCCACCUGGGAAGUACGGCCGCAAGGCUGAACUUAAGGAUUGGCGGGGAGCACCACAACGGGUGGAGCCUGCGGUUUAAUUGGACUCAACGCCGGGAAGCUCACCGGAUAAGACAGCGGAAUGAUUGCCGGGCUGAAGACUCUGCAUGACUAGCUGAGAGGAGGUGCAUGGCGUCAGUGACU